UUUAUGGCUUAUACGUAUAUCUCACUCUCAAGACUUGGUCUCUGCCUCUAGCUAUUUCUUCCUUUAUUUAUUUUUCAUUUCCUUUUAAUUUUUCAUGGAAGGAUAAGAGAAACCAGUAGUUUCUGCAGACUGCAGUGAAAGUUCAUAUUUGAUCAGCAAGCUUUUAUAUGGAAGCCAAAGUUGAAGAACCCUAGGGGAUGAAUGCAUGAGUUGUGGCAUCGAGGGUGGUGGAUGUGAUGGGGAUGAGGUUAGAGAUCAUGUUGACAGAAGAGAGAGAGCACAACCCACCAUCGGCUAAAGAGAGUCUUUUCCGUUGUUGGGAGUGUGCUCUCUUUUCUUCUGUCAUCAUCUCCUACAUUCCCGUCUCUCAGCACUGUCUGAUCUCUGUCGAUCUAUAGCCUCAAAGUAAUUAAGUAUUACUUGUGUGCAAAACUGGGGAAAUUUCUUACGCAGAUGAUUCUUGUAGCAGCGGUAAUUAACCAGCCGAAUUCUUUUUUGGAGGAAUAAAUUUUACGAAUUAUUUUGCAGCUCUUGAUCAAAUAUUUAUUAUGGUCAACUUAUAAGCGACGCUGGUUUACUACUAAUCUUGGUUUCUACUUGUACAACAUUCAAAUGUUAUUCGGAAACUUGAUCGGUGUUGUAAACCGUGACAGCUUAGUGAUCGACAUAGUUUUCUUUUCUGCUUCGAUGACUUCUUGUAUAGAAUGAUACAGUUUUCUACUUUGUUUUGAGGGCUGCUUGUCAAGUGCCAUACUCCUUGCUCAUCCUCGAUGCGAAGGGAACAGGAAAGGCCUGUAACAUAUUGCAAAACAAAGAUCCGAAACCAGGAUCGGUGAGGGAGAUCGCAAAAGGGGCUAAUGACAUUUCACUGAAACGUGGUAGGCGCCAGCAGCUAUCAUAAAGAAGUGGAGCUACAAGCAUGGUGGAAAAAUUCAAUUCCUUGAUGGUGUAUGCCGUGAUUGACAGACCAUCUGACCCGCAUGGAAAUCUUACUUGCAGAAUGUUCAGAUUUGCAUUUGCCUUGUACACAGUUUUUAUCUGUACAUCACUUGGAUACGGAGUUUGUACCGUUCCAUAUCACGAAGAGGAAUCUGUUUUCGAUGUAUAUUAUGUGCUCAAAUGUGAUCGACAAUAUUCUCAAGUUUUCGCAAAGCAGACUUUUAAAGUUC